UGACAUGUUUCAUUUGACAUUUUAACAAAGUGUUGAAUUUUUGCUGCUUACUGGAGAAGCUCGUUUGGCGAAAAUCAUGAAAAAAGUGAAGUGAGCUGGAGGAUCUCGUUACGCGUGAAUUGUUUGGAAGUGUUAAAUAAACCCAACCACCAAGAAGCCACCACCUCCCACGAAAGUAUAUACACAGCAACGUAUGAAUCGCGCAAUGUACUUGUACCAUAUACCCCUGGCAACAGUAUAAUUUUUCAAUCAUGUUUGAGUGCUCUGGGUGGAGCUUGGAACUCCUUUUUUGCUCAAACAGUGCGUUCUCCAGCGGAUUGGGGAUGACAUAUGGAAUUGCUUUGGUUAAAUUUUAAUCGAUUGGGUUGUGUUUUCACGUCAUGGGAGCUUGAGCUAAAAUCGAACUCGCAGUAUUUUGUUGA